AUUAUGGAGAACGAAUCCGAAACAUAGGUUAUAUGUAUUAUUGCAUCUACUGAACAGUAGUUAUGAUAUUGUUAAUUAUAUUUGUGUUUUUAAUAUUUUGGUCCAUGAUGUAAACUAAAACUUAUUACACAGACUAUGAAGUCGCCUGCAUUUAUCCCGACGAGCGCAUUAUUUAAUAAGAACACUGUUUAAUUUGGGCAUCACCUUCGUAUACUUAAUAUUUACUCACUUUUUAUGAGCCUGCACUAGGAUACUUUAUUUGGAUUAGCUCUUUUCACAAUAGAUGAUUGUCAAUGUUCAACUAAUAUGUAAAACGAAAAAUAAUGAAAUAAAUACAAACAAUAAUA